GGGCUGUGUGCUGUGCCGGGGAUUUUCCACCAGCUCUGCCUGUUCCAGCUUCUCAGCUGGGUGCAUUUUCCCACAAAGACACGGUCUCAGAAGUGCCAUCUUCAUGGUUUAGUCACUCAGGUGAGAGUGCAGUGUUGGUCAUCGCAGGAUGUUACAGUGGAACCAGACAACCAAAUCAAAGACCACCAAGAAGCCCACAGUACGCAGCAGGCUUCCCAGUUUGCAGUGUCAUCUACCUUCAGUUGACCAGAUGAGCUGAGUCCUGGCCCACCACAUCCAAGGGCAGGCUGCCCGGUGAGUAGACUUCAUGCGUGGGUGACACCACUGUGCACCCACACCUAACUCCCAACCUGCUGCCCUGUAGCAUACCUAGGUCAUAAAUUGCACCCAGGGCACUAGAAGGAGAGCAGGACCAGUUCCCCAGUGGCCAGUGCAGACUUGGCGGCCCAGCGGCUGAGAGAAACUGCCUAGUUGGCCACAGCGGACACUGCGCUGAGGUCUGGGAGUUAAAAAUGGGUGUUUUUUUUCCUCCAGCA